rnacentral:rRNA from 1 species
ACCAUGGUAAUUCUAUGGCUAAUACAUGCGCAAAUGCCACCUUCUCUGGAGGGGCAGUGUUUAUUAGAUACAAAACCAACCCACUUUUGUGGAGCCUUGGUGAUUCAUAGUAACCGAACGGAUCGCAUUUUGGCUUCGGCCUGCGAUAGAUCAUUCAAGUUUCUGACCUAUCAGCUUUCGACGGUAGGGUAUUGGCCUACCGUGGCAGUGACGGGUAACGGGGAAUUAGGGUUCGAUUCCGGAGAGGGAGCCUGAGAAACGGCUACCACAUCUAAGGAAGGCAGCAGGCGCGCAAAUUACCCAAUGAAAACAGUUUCGAGGUAGUGACGAGAAAUAACAAUACAGGGCAUUUAUUGCUUUGUAAUUGGAAUGAUGGGAAUGUAAAACCCUUUCAGAGUAACAAUUGGAGGGCAAGUCUGGUGCCAGCAGCCGCGGUAAUUCCAGCUCCAAUAGCGUAUAUUAGAGUUGUUGCAGUUAAAAAGCUCGUAGUUGGAUUUCUGUCGGUGUCGUCCGGUUCCGCCUGUAUAGGUGUGCACCAGGAUAGGCUUCGGCAUUCUUCCGUAGCCCGUUCCCGCUUCAUUGCGUGGAGGGUGUUUCGGAACUUUUACUUUGAG